rnacentral:lncRNA from 1 species
CAGCACAUGUCAGACCUUAACCAUUGAUAGGACGUUCAGGACCAGCAUCUGAAUCAUGUAAACCCUAAUGACAUGUCAUUUGUAUCUUAUGAAUUCCUAAGGUUCAAACGGGGCUCGGUAAUAGUCGUAUGUCGUUAGAUAUGCAACCAAUAUAUACAUAUAGCAAUUCACAUAACAAGUAUAUUUCAAUCAGAAACAUAUAUACACAAUUUAAUUCCACG